rnacentral:rRNA from 1 species
UACGGGGGGGGCAAGCGUUGUUCGGAAUUACUGGGCGUAAAGGGUUUGUAGGUGGCUUGCUAAGUCAGACGUGAAAUCCCUCAGCUUAACUGAGGAACUGCGUCUGAGACUGGCAAGCUUGAGUGCAGGAGAGGAACGCGGAAUUCCAGGUGUAGCGGUGAAAUGCGUAGAUAUCAUGAGGAAGACCAGUGGCGAAGGCGGGUCUCUGGACAGUUCCUGACACUGAGACACGAAGGCCAGGGGAGCAAACGGG